rnacentral:rRNA from 1 species
ACAGGCCUAACACAUGCAAGUCGAACGGUAACAGGCCUUCGGGCGCUGACGAGUGGCGAACGGGUGAGUAAUGCAUCGGAACGUGCCCAGUCGUGGGGGAUAACGCAGCGAAAGCUGUGCUAAUACCGCAUACGAUCUGCGGAUGAAAGCGGGGGACCUUCGGGCCUCGCGCGAUUGGAGCGGCCGAUGUCAGAUUAGGUAGUUGGUGGGGUAAAGGCCCACCAAGCCGACGAUCUGUAGCUGGUCUGAGAGGACGACCAGCCACACUGGGACUGAGACACGGCCCAGACUCCUACGGGAGGCAGCAGUGGGGAAUUUUGGACAAUGGGCGCAAGCCUGAUCCAGCAAUGCCGCGUGCAGGAAGAAGGCCUUCGGGUUGUAAACUGCUUUUGUACGGAACGAAAAGGUCUGGGUUAAUACCCUGGGCUCAUGACGGUACCGUAAGAAUAAGCACCGGCUACUCUG